ensembl:lncRNA
CUAAAUUACAGGAGUCUGUCACCACACCCAGACCGCAGGACUCUGCUUCUACCUGAGAGUCUGUUUGGAAAAGUCGGAAGAGUUUUUUUUAAGAUCCGCAGCGACUCGUCUUCUUCUCUUAUCGAGCCUCCUGACAGCGAACAUGUGGAUCUGCAAACCCUCAACGAUCCUUUCCCUCAUCGGUGUCAUGCUGAUCUGGCCGUCUGUCCUCACACAGAAUGUCUCACCCAAGCUGCAGGCAGACAGCAGCUCUCUAUCUGCAGGUGUUUACAUCGACUAAGACUGAGUCCAACAGGGUUGGAUUUGAUCGUCCUUAAAGUUGAAAGUCA